rnacentral:tRNA from 2 species
GCCGGGUUGGCCGAGUGGUCUAAGGCGCCAGACUUAAGUUCUGGUUCCCAAGCGGGAGCGUGGGUUCGAACCCCACACCCGGCA